GAUGAAGAACGUAGCGAAAUGCGACAAGUAAUGUGAAUUGCAAAUUCAGUGAAUCAUCGAGUCUUUGAACGCACAUUGCGCCCCCUGGUAUUCCGGGGGGCAUGCCUGUCCGAGCGUCAUUGCUGCCCUCAAGCACGGCUUGUGUGUUGGGCCCCGUCCUCCGAUCCCGGGGGACGGGCCCGAAAGGCAGCGGCGGCACCGCGUCCGGUCCUCGAGCGUAUGGGGCUUUGUCACCCGCUCUGUAGGCCCGGCCGGCGCUUGCCGAUCAACCCAAAUUUUUAUCCAGGUUGACCUCGGAUCAGGUAGGGAUACCCGCUGAACUUAAGCAUAUCAAUAAGCGGAGGA
rnacentral:misc_RNA from 1 species